rnacentral:rRNA from 1 species
GAUGAACGCUGGCGGCGUGCCUAAUACAUGCAAGUCGAGCGAACAGACGAGGAGCUUGCUCCUCUGACGUUAGCGGCGGACGGGUGAGUAACACGUGGAUAACCUACCUAUAAGACUGGGAUAACUUCGGGAAACCGGAGCUAAUACCGGAUAACAUGUUGAACCGCAUGGUUCAACAGUGAAAGACGGUCUUGCUGUCACUUAUAGAUGGAUCCGCGCCGCAUUAGCUAGUUGGUAAGGUAACGGCUUACCAAGGCAACGAUGCGUAGCCGACCUGAGAGGGUGAUCGGCCACACUGGAACUGAGACACGGUCCAGACUCCUACGGGAGGCAGCAGUAGGGAAUCUUCCGCAAUGGGCGAAAGCCUGACGGAGCAACGCCGCGUGAGUGAAGAAGGUCUUCGGGUCGUAAAACUCUGUUAUUAGGGAAGAACAAAUGUGUAAGUAAUUAUGCACGUCUUGACGGUACCUAAUCAGAAAGCCACGGCUAACUACGUG